UGCAUUAAUGCCUAGGCCUUAGACUGCUUGU
rnacentral:piRNA from 1 species